rnacentral:misc_RNA from 1 species
UAGUGAAAAGCUAUAGACUUGGUGUCUAAGGAUAAAACCAUAAAGGUGAAUCCUACACCGCCCAACCUUGUUAAUAAAUUUAACGUUACCUCGGUAGGUUAGCCUACCGGUGGACAAUCUAAAAACCUUUUUAAAAUAUAUUUGUAAAUAAAUUGUCUGAUAAUUUUUAAAAUAAAAUUA